GAAACUUAGGAUAAUAUAAAACCAAAGGCCUUCAAA
rnacentral:tRNA from 1 species